GUCCCUUCGAGACCUAGGAUCGCUGGCUGGAAAGGCAGGGUGGCAGUUGCCUUUUUCUAGAUUGUGGAGAGGGAGAUUCCUUAUGGCCAUGAGGCCCUUGUGGUACAAACCCGGGAACCAUGUAGGGGGCACCUGGGCAUGGGACUCUCCCUGCUGCCCCCGAUAUGACAUCAUCUGCCCUGACUGAGCUGAUACAUGAAGCAAAACCUGCUUGUCCUCCCUCACUUGUGGCUAGACCUCUGUCACGGCUCCGUACAGGGGAGACAAAGCAGAGAGCUGCAGGAGGGUGGAACGGCUCUGACCGGAGCUGGGGUGGUUUGCUGAGGACCCACACCCAUGAAUGCCCUCUAUGGGUCGUUUGUCCCUUCCACGCACAGCCACCGAGUCGGUGUGGGCUCACCAUCACCCAGAGCAGAGAACAUGCCGAAAGGGACAGAGAGGACAUGGAAGACCAGUGAGGCACUCCAGCGGUGGUCCCCCGGCCGGGAUGGUGGUACCUGACUCAGGCCAGGCGAUGGCAAAGAAGAUCAAAGGGAGGAGGCGACAGAUCACUCUGGAGAUGGAUUCAAAAGCACCUCCCCAGAAACACUGGACAGCAAAGAUUCUGGAACCUGUCAAGGCUCAUGACCCCAGAGCCAGUGCUUCCUGGGGCUGUGACUCCAACGGAAUAGCUUAACCUCCCUGUCCCUCAUUUUCUUCUUGUGACAAAGAAGCUAAAAGUAGGGUAAAGCUCUUAGAUAGAGGAGGGCACACAGUAAAGACCAUAUAUGAUGUACAUUAUCACUGCAAAUGAAUUUGAGAGAGAAAAAGGGUCAAGGCCAACUUCAAGGCUAUAAAAAGUUUUAUGCACUGAGCUUUGAAAAGCCCCCAGAAUUCAGAAUGUGUCACAAACAGACCUUCAGUGAUUAUGAAAAGUCUUAAAAUUGCCCAGAUGGGUGUGGCUCAGUUGGUUGGGUGUUGUCCUGCAAAGCAAAAAGAUCGCCAGUUCGAUUCCAGGUCAGGGCACAUGUCUGAGCUGCGGGCCAAGUCCAAGAGGCAACCAAUCGAUGUUUCCCUCUUACAUGGAUGUUUCUCUCCUCACUUUCCCCCUCCCUUCCUCUCUGUUUAUAAAAUCUUUUUAAAAAUUAAAAAGCCUUAAAAUGUACAUAGCCUUGAUUCAGCAGAUCUCCCACUGGGAAUCUAUCCCCUGGAAAUAAUCAAGGAAGGACCUGUGCAAAGCUUUGAUUACAGAAAUACCCAUCAAAACUCUGCUUUGAUUGUGAAGAAUUGAAAACUACCUAGUUAUCUAAUAGAGGGACAUUGAUUAAAUAAAUUCUGCU